CGAACCUCUGGUGUUCGGGUUGUGACGCCAGUCGCAUUGCCCGGUAGCUAUGUUCGGACAGGAUAACCGCUGAAAGCAUCUAAGCGGGAAGCCCCUUCCAAGAUGAGAUCUCCCUGGACCCUUGAGGUCCCUGAAGAGCCGUUCAAGACCAGGACGUUGAUAGGUCGGGUGUGUAAGCGCUGCGAGGCGUUGAGCUAACCGAUACUAAUUGCUCGU
rnacentral:rRNA from 1 species